rnacentral:SRP_RNA from 1 species
GCUGGGCAUGGUGGCACGUGCCUGUAAUCCCAGCUACUUGGGAGGCUAAGGCAGAAGAAUCACUUGAGCCCAGGAGGCGGAGCUUGCAGUGAGCUAAGAUCGUGCCACUGCACUCCAGCCUGGGCUACAGAGUGAGACUCCGUCUCAA